GACGGAGGGGGCUAGCGUUGUUCGGAAUUACUGGGCGUAAAGGGUGCGUAGGCGGCCAUUUAAGUUAGACGUGAAAGCCCAGAGCUUAACUUUGGAAUUGCGUAUAAUACUGUUUGGCUAGAGUUCGGUAGAGGAAAGUAGAAUUCCUAGUGUAGAGGUGAAAUUCGUAGAUAUUAGGAAGAAUACCAGAGGCGAAGGCGGCUUUCUGGACCGAUACUGACGCUGAGGCACGAAAGCGUGGGGAGCAAACAGG
rnacentral:rRNA from 1 species